rfam:Glycine soja cultivar W05 scaffold943_30, whole genome shotgun sequence.
ACUUCUGCUCUGGGUGAGAGAAACACGUAUUGAAGAAGGUUCAUGGCUUAGACAAUAAGUUGCUACUUUGCUGAACUCACCAUUUUAUGUGAAGAAGUGGCUAUGCUAAUUGUUUGAUUCUGUACACGUACGAUACGGGUCGCUCUCACCUGGAGUAGGGCUGC